GAGGGAGGCACCAGGGAACUUCCCUCCCUCACUUGAGCACAAUCCAAGAUGAAAGUUUCUGGGUUGUGUCCCCUUCGCUUCCUCUCACCCUCGCUCCCCCGCGGAGCCAAGGAGCCAGCAAUUGUGCAAGAGGAGACCGGCGCACAGGGCGCGUAUCACGGAGCGCAUGGUACGAGCCGCCGGCUCCGGUGAUUAAUUAUCAGUAACCGAUGGCCUCGCGCUACCACGUCGGCUUUCCCAGCAGAGCCAGCAAGCCGAACGCCUCCAGCGCGGCCGGGACGGAGGAGCGGCUCUGGGGAAGACGCCGAGGCUGCGCCCGACAGAGGGCUGGCUGGCAAGGAGGAGCGGAGCGGAGGAGCGAGGACCGAGCAGCACAGCCCGCCACGCACGCCGACUCCUCCAGCAACCCUCGGCGCUGGCAGCCAAGCCUGCACAGCCUCGUCUCUCUUCUCAGGUCUGAACGAAGCUGCCUCCAGCCACAUGAAGUCAGUAGGGCUGUUCUGAGGGGCCCCGAGAUUUGAUGACUGUUUUUUAGGUUGCGGAACCUACUCCGAGAGAGCAAACACUUUGGACGAAGUGAUUCAUAUUGAUAGAUACAUUUGUUGGGAGGUGGCUUUUUUCAUUCUCAACAGAAAACAAAGAAAUAAAUUAAGUCUUCCCCUGACCCAGAUUGUACUGUGAAACUUUUCAACAAUGUCUCUGCUUUCUUUUACUUCGGUAUCCUUUCCCCUUUUUCUUUUAAGACGCCCUUAGGGAAACCAUGAAGUAACCCUGCACAUUCCAGUAACACAGUUAUGACAAAACAAGAGCCUAACUAGGAAGUGACCACAUUUUAAAAAGUAUUUAGAAAGAAAAACACCAGAAACAAAAGUGCCCAUAACAAU
rnacentral:lncRNA from 1 species